rnacentral:lncRNA from 1 species
AAGACAGGCUGUGGAAAAGAGUCAGCAGGGCAGGACGAGGCUCUCUUGCAAUGGUGGCAGACAUUCUUGCCAGGAACCCUUCAUGUAAACUUGGAGAUGUGUGCUUCCUACUGUGUCCCUGCUCUCAACAUGGCCAAUGGAGAAAGGGAAGAAGGGGUCAUUUUGAAGUGUUCCUGAAUUACAGUUUUAAACCCAGAAUACACUAUUGGUUGGUGUAUCUUGUGAAAGCCAGAGUGACUGUCUAAGAUGCCAGAUGGACAAGGCAGGCCAGACUUUGAAUAGACUAAUGAAGUAUGACUGCAGCCCUACGCAGGCUGUGCUGGCUGAGCCAACAGACUCAGCAGAGCCCUGGACCAUCAGAUGCUGGCCUAAGCCAUGCGGUAGCGACAACGUGACACAUCCACAGCCUGGACCAGGUGCCAGCAGAUUGCUUGUUAGUUGUGAUUUCACCAAUAACUGGUUAUGUUGCUUGGGCAAGUUUGAAGUCUCAGUCUCAUCCUUUUUAAGAAGUAGAGAUUCACUCUAGAUUCCCUCCUAACUCCAACUUUCUGCUUUUCAAUAAUUUUUUAAUUUUCGUUUGUAAGAUGUGCAAAGUUAUAAAUCUUUUGAUCCUGGCUUCACAACCUUAGCUAGAUGAUCUAGGAGUCUACUUGAGAAUAAUAUGUUCUCUCUAGGAAAGAUGUUUGUGUUACCAAACAGCCAUCAAUCAUGGUUAUAUCCUGAACAGUGUUAAUCAGACUCAAGAAUAUGCUAUUUUACUGCUAACAGAUUUCUUAAUUAAAUUACUGAAAUGGUUCAAAAGAGUUUGAAGUUUUGGGAAUAGGAUUUAAAGUACAGUCUCUUCCAUCAGUUUUUACAAUUUGAGCUACUUAUUACUUAUUUAAGGUUUUUUUUUUUUUAAAUGUGUUGUCAAAUUUCCUUAAAACAAGCAAGAACUUAAACUUUGCAUAAAGCGUGGUUUCAUUGCCUGGUCGUUCCUAGCAAAGUGGCUUUGCUCUCUCCCCUAUUGGAAUUGACCCAAUCACAUCUCCCUCCAAUUUUUUUACUUCUUGUAUUCUCACGAUUCCAGUUAUAAGACCUUCAGCAAUAAAUUUAAUAUGGAAUCAGACAAAAAUGAGUUAACAUUUUUUCAGGUUCUUCUUUGCUUCUAGAUAAUCAGGUCUUAGAUCAAUUCUUUGAGAGUUUGAAUUAAAGUGAGGAAAACAAAGUUGAAUGAGAAGGAUGCUACAUAUCAGGAGAUUUUUUCCUCAGGUUUAUUUGGGACUUUUGAAGUUUUCAUAUGUUUAUACAGUUGCUUACUGCAGUUACUUG